rnacentral:misc_RNA from 1 species
CCUCCUUUCUAAGGAAACCAAUAAAAUCAAUCAUCUUCAGUUUUGAAAGACUUAGGCAACUAAGUUUUUCUUCGUGACUUCACGAAGGGCCUAUAGCUCAGUUGGUUAGAGCACACGCCUGAUAAGCGUGAGGUCGGUGGUUCAAGUCCAUUUAGGCCCACCAGAGUUAUAGGUUUCGUAAGAACACAAAUUCUUUGAAAAUUAGGUAAAUAAUAGUUAUUUAUCCGGAACAUUAAAGGAAA